AGAGUUUGAUCCUGGCUCAGGACGAACGCUUGCGGCGUGCCUAAUGUAUGCAAGUCGAGCGGACAACCAGUCUUCGGAUUGGUUGUUAGCGGCGAACGGUUGAGUAACACGUCGGCAACCUGCCCCGAAGUGGGGGAUAACUCACCGAAAGGUGGGCUAAUACCGCAUGUGGAAGGGGAGCGCCUGCUCCCUUCUCUAAAGUGGCAACACGCUUCGGGAUGGGCCGGCGGCCUAUCAGCUAGUUGGUGGGGUAACGGCCUACCAAGGCGGCGACGGGUAGCUGGUCUGAGAGGAUGGUCAGCCAGACAGGGACUGAGACACGGCCCUGACUCCUUUGGGGGGCAGCAAUGAGGGAUAUUGCGCAAUGGGGGCAACCCUGACGCAGCGACGCCGCGUGGGUGACGAAGUCCUUCGGGAUGUAAAGCCCUUUUGCGGGGGAUGAGAUGGACAGUACCCCGCGAAUAAGCCCCGGCUAACUACGUGCCAGCAGCCGCGGUAAUACGUAGGGGGCGAGCGUUGUCCGGAUUUACUGGGCGUAAAGCGCGUGUAGGUGGCCGGAUAAGUCGGGUGUGAAAGCCCGGGGCUCAACCCCCGGGAUGCCGCCCGAGACUGCCUGGCUUGAGGACGGAAGAGGGGAGUGGAAUUCCUGGUGUAGCGGUGAAAUGCGUAGAGAUCAGGAGGAACACCCGUGGCGAAGGCGGCUCCCUGGUCCGUCCCUGACGCUGAGACGCGAAAGCGCGGGGAGCGAACGGGAUUAGAUACCCCGGUAGUCCGCGCCGUAAACGAUGGUCACUAGGUGU
rnacentral:rRNA from 1 species